CGAAAGUCUGACGGAGCAAUGCCGCGUGAGUGAAGAAGGGUUUCGGCUCGUAAAGCUCUGUUGUUAAAAGAAGAACACGUAUGAGAGUAACUGUUCAUACGUUGACGGUAUUUAACCAGAAAGUCACGGCUAACUACGUGCCAGCAGCCGCGGUAAUACGUAGGUGGCAAGCGUUAUCCGGAUUUAUUGGGCGUAAAGAGAGUGCAGGCGGUUUUCUAAGUCUGAUGUGAAAGCCCUUCGGCUUAACCGGAGAAGUGCAUCGGAAACUGGAUAACUUGAGUGCAGAAGAGGGUAGUGGAACUCCAUGUGUAGCGGUGGAAUGCGUAGAUAUAUGGAAGAACACCAGUGGCGAAGGCGGCUACCUGGUCUGCAACUGACGCUGAGACUCGAAAGCAUGGGUAGCGAACAGGAUUAGACUACCCUGGUAG
rnacentral:rRNA from 1 species